ensembl:ncRNA C10H11.13 ncRNA
AUCCGACAAUAACCUCAUUUUAUUUCCAAAAUUUCAUUUUCAAAAUCAGCACAGCCGAACAACGGACACACCGGCGGCGGGCGUGAGAAUUGAAACGGAAAAGAAGAAAUGAACGAGAGAAGAAGAUUUCCGUAUUUGCAACAUUUU